AUUGAACGCUGGCGGCAGGCCUAACACAUGCAAGUCGAGCGGAUGAAGGGAGCUUGCUCCUGGAUUCAGCGGCGGACGGGUGAGUAAUGCCUAGGAAUCUGCCUGGGAGUGGGGGAUAACGUCCGGAAACGGGCGCUAAUACCUCAUACGUCCUGAGGGAGAAAGUGGGGGAUCUUCGGACCUCACGCUAUCAGAUGAGCCUAGGUCGGAUUAGCUAGUUGGUGGGGUAAAGGCCUACCAAGGCGACGAUCCGUAACUGGUCUGAGAGGAUGAUCAGUCACACUGGAACUGAGACACGGUCCAGACUCCUACGGGAGGCAGCAGUGGGGAAUAUUGGACAAUGGGCGAAAGCCUGAUCCAGCCAUGCCGCGUGUGUGAAGAAGGUCUUCGGAUUGUAAAGCACUUUAAGUUGGGAGGAAGGGCAGUAAGUUAAUACCUUGCUGUUUUGACGUUACCAACAGAAUAAGCACCGGCUAACUUCGUG
rnacentral:rRNA from 1 species